GGACAAAGCACAAAUGUACCUGGGUUGU
rnacentral:piRNA from 1 species